rnacentral:rRNA from 1 species
AUGGCUCAGGACGAACGCUGGCGGCGUGCUUCAUACAUGCAAGUCGAACGAGAAUCUGACUUCGGUCAGAGGAAAGUGGCGGACGGGUGAGUAAUAUGUAGAGAAUCUGCCCUUUAGUGGGGGACAACAGUUGGAAACGACUGCUAAUACCCCAUAUGCGCGUAGCUGAGAUGCUAUUCGUGAAAACUCCGGUGCUAAAGGAUGAGUCUGCAUCUGAUUAGCUAGUUGGCGGUGUAAUGGACCACCAAGGCGACGAUCAGUAGCUGGUUUGAGAGGAUGAUCAGCCACAAUGGGACUGAGACACGGCCCAUACUCCUACGGGAGGCAGCAGUAGGGAAUUUUGCGCAAUGGGGGAAACCCUGACGCCAGCAACGCCGCGUGAUUGAAUAAGCCCUUCGGGGUGUAAAGAUCUGUCAGUGGGGACGAAACUUGACGGUACCCACAGAGGAAGCAUCGGCUAACUCCGUGCCAGCCGCAGC